UUAUAGGAAAAGCAAAAGGGUCAAAUUGGAAUCACACAUGUAGCUGAUGGGAGGGUGCCAUUCACAUAUUCAAUAGAAGAUAGGAAAGCUACACAAAGAGCACUUGAUUUUACCUUUGGAUGGUUUGUGAAUCCUACAAUCAAAGGAGACUACCCGGAGGUGAUGCGACGCCUUGUCAGCAUCAGACUUCCCAAAUUCUCGGAUGAAGAAUCCACGUCAUUGAUAGGUUCAUUUGAUUUCAUCGGUUUAAAUUAUUACACUUCAACAUACGUGAUGAACAGGAAAAUACCCGCCACUCCAUCAGAAGUUAGCUACUUUACCGAUAUGAAUCUUUACACUUUGUCUGAGCGUAACGGGCAACUAAUUGGUCCUCAG